GACGAACGCUGGCGGCGUGCUUAACACAUACAAGUCGAACGGAAAGGCCCUGCUUUUGUGGGGUGCUCGAGUGGCGAACGGGUGAGUAACACGUGAGUAACCUGCCCUUGACUUUGGGAUAACUUCAGGAAACUGGGGCUAAUACCGGAUAGGAGCUCCUGCUGCAUGGUGGGGGUUGGAAAGUUUCGGCGGUUGGGGAUGGACUCGCGGCUUAUCAGCUUGUUGGUGGGGUAGUGGCUUACCAAGGCUUUGACGGGUAGCCGGCCUGAGGGGGUGACCGGCCACAUUGGGACUGAGAAACGGCCCAGACUCCUACGGGAGGCAGCAGUGGGGAAUAUUGCACAAUGGGCGGAAGCCUGAUGCAGCAACGCCGCGUGCGGGAUGACGGCCUUCGGGUUGUAAACCGCUUUCGCCUGUGACGAAGCGUGAGUGACGGUAAUGGGUAAAGAAGCACCGGCUAACUACGUG
rnacentral:rRNA from 1 species